GGCGACAUGGCCGAGUGGUAAGGCAGAGGACUGCAAAUUCUUUUUUUCCCAGUUCAAAUUCGGGUGUCGCCU
rfam:Capsicum annuum cultivar Zunla-1 chromosome 5, whole genome shotgun sequence